rnacentral:rRNA from 1 species
GACGAACGCUGGCGGCGUGCCUAAUACAUGCAAGUGGGACGCAAGGGAACACACUGUGCUUGCACACCGUGUUUUCUUGAGUCGCGAACGGGUGAGUAACGCGUAGGUAACCUGCCUAUUAGCGGGGGAUAACUAUUGGAAACGAUAGCUAAUACCGCAUAAUAUUAAUUAUUGCAUGAUAAUUGAUUGAAAGAUGCAAGCGCAUCACUAGUAGAUGGACCUGCGUUGUAUUAGCUAGUUGGUAAGGUAAGAGCUUACCAAGGCGACGAUACAUAGCCGACCUGAGAGGGUGAUCGGCCACACUGGGACUGAGACACGGCCCAGACUCCUACGGGAGGCAGCAGUAGGGAAUCUUCGGCAAUGGACGAAAGUCUGACCGAGCAACGCCGCGUGAGUGAAGAAGGUUUUCGGAUCGUAAAGCUCUGUUGUAAGUCAAGAACGUGUGUGAGAGUGGAAAGUCACACGGUGACGUAGCUACC